rnacentral:rRNA from 1 species
GACGAACGCUGGCGGCGUGCUUAACACAUGCAAGUCGAGCGGUAAGGCCCUUUCGGGGGUACACGAGCGGCGAACGGGUGAGUAACACGUGGGUGACCUGCCCUCAGCUCUGGGAUAAGCCUGGGAAACCGGGUCUAAUACCGGAUAUGACUCCAUGACGCAUGUUGUGGGGUGGAAAGCCUUGUGCGGCUGAGGAUGGGCCCGCGGCCUAUCAGCUUGUUGGUGGGGUGAUGGCCUACCAAGGCGACGACGGGUAGCCGGCCUGAGAGGGCGACCGGCCACACUGGGACUGAGACACGGCCCAGACUCCUACGGGAGGCAGCAGUGAGGAAUAUUGCACAAUGGGCNCAAGCCUGAUGCAGCGACGCCGCGUGGGUGACGAAGGUCUU